rnacentral:misc_RNA from 1 species
GAAAUGCGAUAACUAAUGUGAAUUGCAGAAUUCAGUGAAUCAUCGAGUCUUUGAACGCACAUUGCGCCCCCUGGUAUUCCGGGGGGCAUGCCUGUCCGAGCGUCAUUGCUGCCCUCAAGCCCGGCUUGUGUGUUGGGUCGCCGUCCCCCUCUCCGGGGGGACGGGCCCGAAAGGCAGCGGCGGCACCGCGUCCGAUCCUCGAGCGUAUGGGGCUUUGUCACAUGCUCUGCAGGAUUGGCCGGCGCCUGCCGACGUUUUCCAACCAUUCUUUCCAGGUUGACCUCGGAUCAGGUAGGGAUACCCGCUGAACUUAAGC